CGCAUAUUUCGCGUGAAGAUCUUUUUUUCAUACUACCCUUUGUAGCCCAGUUAUGUCUUUUGUCAGAGAACAGGAGUGUUACUAGAGCCAUGGCACGACCCCGACCAAUGUACUGGACGGAACGGCUGUUGCUCCGUGACACAAGCGUCUCUACUUUUUCUUUUACAAUUUAGCUAUGCCUUCUUCGAAGCGUGAUCUGUACACAUUAUGAGUCUGUGUUUCAUGCUUGCCAUGGCACAAAUAGAGGGAUCCUCUAAACGGCGAAUCGUGGUGCCGCCGCAUAUGGGUGUUUCCAACUGAAACCCGGCCGAAGCAGCCUGUACUUGUGGUUCCCCAAAACCGAAUCGAAAAUAGCGAGCGUCAGUCGGUUGUGGCGUUCUGCUUCUUAAACUGGCAUGAGCAGGGAGAGGCGCAGAAACGCGAGGACGGAUGACGGGAGAGGCUGUGCCGCCCGAGAUGUCGUGUCCAGCAUGGCAACAGAGUAAAGCGCUUUCCGAGCUACCGAUUCGUAGUUGGAUGGGCGAUGUAACCGGUGCAACUCGCGGGCCGGAAAGGUGCUGAGGAGACGGAAGCUACUGCGGUUGCUGUCAACCAGAGUCAGUAGUGACAGCGCUGGUGUCACGGAGGCGCGAAAACGGAAAGCUUACAGCUACGUCAACCGCACGGUACCUCUUUAAUGUUUUCUUUAAUUCGAAGCUGAGAAACGUUUUCAAUCAUCAUACUUGAGAAGUAAUCCGUUUAACGACCAUGUAACGACUCAUGUAUAUUCAAGCGGUCGAAGCGAACAUGGAUUCCGUUUCUUUUGUGGAAAAAGGCUAUCAAAUACAUUCUUUUUAGCAUGGCGUGCUAGAUCUGUCGACUAGGUUGCUGGACUCGUCGAAGCGUUUGCUUCAACAGGGACUGCCGAACGCACUCUGACCCUGCGCGCGACUCAACCAUCAGGACGUCCUGGAACGAGACUCGCUGACAUCCGCCUGUCUAGUGAAAACGGCU
rnacentral:lncRNA from 1 species